rnacentral:rRNA from 1 species
AGCAGCCGCGGUAAUUCCAGCUCCAAUAGCGUAUAUUAAAGUUGUUGCAGUUAAAAAGCUCGUAGUUGAAUUUCGGGGUCAGUAGAUUGGUCAUGCCACUGGUAUGUACUGGUCUCACUGAUUCCUCCUUCCUGAUGAGCCGUAAUGCCAUUAAUUUGGUGUUGCGAGGAAUCUGGACUGUUACUUUGAAAAAAUUAGAGUGUUUAAAGCAGGCUAACGCUUGAAUACAUUAGCAUGGAAUAAUGAAAUAGGACGUUCGAUCUUAUUCUGUUGGUUUCUAAGAUUGACGUAAUGAUUAAUAGGGAUAGUUGGGGGCAUUAGUAUUCAAUUGUCAGAGGUGAAAUUCUUGGAUUUAUUGAAGACUAACUACUGGGAAAGCAUUUGCCAAGGAUGUUUUCAUUAAUCAAGAACGAAAGUUAGGGGAUCGAAGACGAUCAGAUACCGUCGUAGUCUUAACCAUAAACUAUGCCGACUAGGGAUCGGAUGAUGU